GUGGAGGCGGCGUGCUAUACAUGCAGUCGAGCGGACUUGAUGGAGCUUGCUCCAUCAAGUUAGCGGCGGACGGGUGAGUAACACGUGGGCAACCUGCCUGUAAGACUGGGAUAACUCCGGGAAACCGGAGCUAAUACCGGAUAGUAUCUUGAACCGCAUGGUUCAAGUUGGAAAGACGGUUUCGGCUGUCACUUACAGAUGGGCCCGCGGCGCAUUAGCUAGUUGGUGAGGUAAUGGCUCACCAAGGCAACGAUGCGUAGCCGACCUGAGAGGGUGAUCGGCCACACUGGGACUGAGACACGGCCCAGACUCCUACGGGAGGCAGCAGUAGGGAAUCUUCCGCAAUGGACGAAAGUCUGACGGAGCAACGCCGCGUGAGUGAUGAAGGUUUUCGGAUCGUAAAACUCUGUUGUUAGGGAAGAACAAGUGCGAGAGUAACUGCUCGCACCUUGACGGUACCUAACCAGAAAGCCACGGCUAACUACGUGCCAGCAGCCGCGGUAAUACGUAGGUGGCAAGCGUUGUCCGGAAUUAUUGGGCGUAAAGCGCGCGCAGGCGGUUUCUUAAGUCUGAUGUGAAAGCCCCCGGCUCAACCGGGGAGGGUCAUUGGAAACUGGGAAACUUGAGUGCAGAAGAGGAGAGUGGAAUUCCACGUGUAGCGGUGAAAUGCGUAGAGAUGUGGAGGAACACCAGUGGCGAAGGCGACUCUCUGGUCUGUAACUGACGCUGAGGCGCGAAAGCGUGGGGAGCGAACAGGAUUAGAUACCCUGGUAGUCCACGCCGUAAACGAUGAGUGCUAAGUGUUAGAGGGUUUCCGCCCUUUAGUGCUGCAGCUAACGCAUUAAGCACUCCGCCUGGGGAGUACGGUCGCAAGACUGAAACUCAAAGGAAUUGACGGGGGCCCGCACAAGCGGUGGAGCAUGUGGUUUAAUUCGAAGCAACGCGAAGAACCUUACCAGGUCUUGACAUCCUUUGC
rnacentral:rRNA from 2 species